CACAGAUCACAAAAAAGCAUAAACAGCAUGUCAUACACCAAAUAUUAAGAAAAACCUACAUGUGUUAAAAAGGAUCUAUAUGCCCUAAGUCUAAGUCUAAUUAAGUUAAGUUAAGUUAAGUUAAGUUAAGUUACAACUGCUAAAAUAAAUAUAAAUAAAACAAAAUAAUUACAAAUUACAA